UGCCAGUGGAUGCCAGGCCUGAGGAAGGCUA
rnacentral:piRNA from 1 species